AUAAUUGCUCCUCUGCACGGAAAUCUUUAGUAAAAGGAAAAUCCGAGAAAAUCUUUCAUCUUUUACUAAAGAUUUCCGUGUAAAGGAGCAAUUAUGAAUAUUUAACAAGUUUUGCAAUUCCGUCGAAAGUUUCAGUAC
rnacentral:snRNA from 1 species